GUGAACUGUUUGACGAUGCGGCAGAAAUUUUUAUCUUAAAUAGACUGUAAAUUAUGAAAAAUCAUGCAGUUUAAAAAUUUGGUUCCAGAAUACGUUGGUUGAGUUUGCUUGUACUUCAGGACUAGGUAGAACGGUACGAAACGAAGAAAAACUCCCGCGGUACGAAUAUAUUGUCAGAAGAAGAACUGGUGUAGUAGUCUUCUCGGAUAGCAAUCGACAUUUGAUGGAAGCAAAUCGGACUAAGUAUGAAGAGGAACAUAGGCUCAGCCGGAGUCUAAAUACUGGUUCUUUAAUUCCCAAGGCAAAUCAUCCGGAUCACCAUCAUAUAACAAUGGUAGAGGACGAAAAAAGACUGAAACAAACUCGAGAUUUGUUGGACAAUCUCAACCUAAAAAUUAUUCGAAUAGUGCCAGGAAAACUUUCGCUUGAACUCCACUCGUGAGCAGACCAGCUUUUGGAACCGGAUAAGAAUGCAUAGUUUAGUGCGCAGGAUAAGUGCUUGGCAGAGAAAAAUUACUAUUGGUAUAUAGGAGCUAUCCGAUGGUUAACAUAUUGUAUAAACCGAGGAUUACGAUUUACAAUUAUUCCGUAUUACAUGGGCAUUUUUAUUUGUGGCGCUACUCUAUCCGAUUACAAAACCUAGGCACCUGGAUAAGCUGAGCACUUAGCUAAGAAAACGACACUGGGGAAUUUCAGAAACUGGAAAGUUACAGCUUUGACGCGUUCAAAUAGUGUAAAUGUAGAACUC